ACUGAUUGUCCAGCCUGUAGUAGGUGCUCAAUAAACAGGAGCAAUGAUCACGCAUUAUAUAAAUUGUGUAUGAAAAACAGAACCCAAAUACUAGAAAAAUCUCUUCUCUCAUAGGGUUUAUUACAUGUAUUUAUGGAUGUCUAUACCCAGAGGAAAGUCCAGCUGGGGUUAAGGGUGCAGAAUAAGUAAAACUUCCAAAUCUAUCAGGGUCUUGGUCAAUCUGACCCAUUUUUUGUGUGAGCCUCCUCACUCGAAAUUAACUAAGGCUGCACUGCUCUGUUCAAUUACAGGAACAUUCUCCAGCCCUUCUACUUCCUCUCAAAUCUCACCACUCUCUUAGUAUGGAAUAUUGAAAAGGCCAGACUGGGUCAGGUCCCUACUGAUCAAUAGCCUGUCCUUUCUCUCAGCUCCCCAGCCAAUGCCCGGCCUCUGUGCCAGGGAGGACACAGGAGGACAGACACAGCCUCUGUGUCAGGAGGAGGGAAGAAGGACUAAUGUCUGUGAGCCCUCUGAGGCUCACAGGGAGAAGCCACACACUCGCAGCACCAGGUCUGUGGUUUUUCAUGACCCUACACUGUCCCCUAGAAGGAAGUACCACCCAGCAGAAACAGAAGCCAAGGAAUUUCCCCAUAGAGAUCUUGGCACGGGCUUGAGGUCAAGAGCUCAAUGGACAGUGGGCAGAAAUUGAAAAGCCCAGAGCCUCCACCACUGACUCCUGUGUGACUUCUGUAAGUCCCUUGCCCUUAAUUCAGCCAUAUGAAAAAUUAGGAAAAAUGAUCUCUCACUUCUGAAAUUCAAUAAUUCUAUGAUGUCAGCAACUAGACCCACGAGGUGAUGAGUUCUACUACAGUUGUCUUGGUGAAAGUAAAAGCUGACUUUUUUUUAAGCAGCUGUUUAGAGUUUACCAUUUGAUAUUUCAUGUAAUCCUUACAACCACUCUAGAAGGUUAGUAUUAUUAUAACCCAAACUCCUACCUUGUCCUAUAGGACCCUUCCGAUCUGGUCUCUCCUCUCUAUUUGGCCUUAUCUUGCACCUCCUUUUAUAAAACCCCAGCUGCAAGGAUUCUAAUCUUAGAUGUCUCUAGGACUUUCCUCUUGCUGUGUCCCUGCCUGGAAGGCCUUUCCUUCUGAUAUAUAAGCAGCUGGCUCUUCCUCCUCUUUCUGUGGCCAGCUAGACUGGCAUCUCAUCAGAGAGAAGAACCUUGGUUUUAAAUCUUUCUUAGCCUAUAUCACUAUCUACAAUUAUGUCUCUUAUUUAUGUGUUUGCAGGUAUGUUAUCUCUGCUCUCCCACUAGACUUUAAGCUCAAUGAAUGCCAGGACCCUUAGAACAAAGCACAUAGCAAGUUUUCAGUGAAGUCUUGUUAACUUUCAAAUGAAGGAAUAAAUGAAUGACUAUAUUUCCACUUCGCAGAUGAGUAAACAGAGGCUCAGAGGGGUGAUGAAAUUUGCCAAUAGUCACCAAUCAGAACAGCUGAUGCUUCCCGGCAGUGAGAUUCUAAACCAGCAGGAGUUCCAAGCCAGAGACAUGAUCUAAGUGCCAAUGGCUGAAUGUCUGUGAGCAUAUCAAGUCAUUUUAAGAAUAGGCAACAUUAGCGGCACCAUUAAAGCCUGCUGUUCCUCCAGCCCAUCACUGCCAUCCCCACCUAUUAAAAUAAUGGUAUGAAAAAUAAACAGCCUUUAUGUACAAUUUUA